rnacentral:misc_RNA from 1 species
GAAAUGCGAUAAGUAAUGUGAAUUGCAGAAUUCAGUGAAUCAUCGAAUCUUUGAACGCACAUUGCGCCCGGCAGUAAUCUGCCGGGCAUGCCUGUCCGAGCGUCAUUUCAGCCCUCGAACCACUAUUCACGUAGCUGGAUCGGUGUUGGGACACUACGGUGGAAUACCCGUAGGCCCCUAAAUGAAGUGGCGGUCCCGCCGCGGCGCCCCCAUGCGUAGUAACUUUCAGUCUCGCAUCGGGUCCCGGCGGAGGCCUGCCGUCAAGCCUAUUUUAUCUUUACAGAUGGUUUGACCUCGGAUCAGGUAGGGUUACCCGCUGAACUUAA